UACAGAACGAACGCUGGCGGCAUGCCUAACACAUGCAAGUCGAACGAGACCUUCGGGUCUAGUGGCGCACGGGUGCGUAACGCGUGGGAAUCUGCCCUUAGGUUCGGAAUAACUUCGGGAAACUGAAGCUAAUACCGGAUGAUGACGUAAGUCCAAAGAUUUAUCGCCUAAGGAUGAGCCCGCGUUGGAUUAGCUAGUUGGUGAGGUAAAGGCUCACCAAGGCGACGAUCCAUAGCUGGUCUGAGAGGAUGAUCAGCCACACUGGGACUGAGACACGGCCCAGACUCCUACGGGAGGCAGCAGUGGGGAAUAUUGGACAAUGGGCGAAAGCCUGAUCCAGCAAUGCCGCGUGAGUGAUGAAGGCCUUAGGGUUGUAAAGCUCUUUUACCCGGGAUGAUAAUGACAGUACCGGGAGAAUAAGCUCCGGCUAACUCCGUG
rnacentral:rRNA from 1 species